rnacentral:rRNA from 1 species
UACGGAGGGGGCUAGCGUUGUUCGGAAUUACUGGGCGUAAAGCGCACGUAGGCGGCUUUGUAAGUUAGAGGUGAAAGCCCGGAGCUCAACUCCGGAAUAGCCUUUAAGACUGCAUCGCUAGAACGUUGGAGAGGUAAGUGGAAUUCCGAGUGUAGAGGUGAAAUUCGUAGAUAUCUGGAGGAACACCGGUGGCGAAGGCGGCAUCCUGGACCAAUAUUGACGCUGAGGAGCGAAAGCCAGGGGAGCAAACGGG